UGUUAAAUAAAUGGAACAAAAGUCAUAAUUAUACAUACAUACAUACAUAUGUGUAUAACAAAUUCUAAAUGCGCAUUUUUAGCGGUCUUUUUUCUCCGUUAUUCGCUGUUUCUUUGAAACGGAUUCACACACACAUAUGUACAUAUGUGUGACCAGAUCACUUCUCUUCGUAUUCAGCAUUGCACGGCGCGUGCCAUCAUUUCUAAGUCGCAGUUGUUGUGUCGUGUAGUGAAAAUUAAAGUUUAAUUGCUGAUGCCGCGAUCUCAUCAGAAACACAAAUCAAAGAUAGUGAAGUGCUAAAAUAAUUAAUCUGGAUCGCGAUUCUUACACGUUAUUGGAGUUAUUCACAUACAUAUUAACUGUGUAUUUUACCGCGAUCUAGUUUAACAUAAUUAACCCUCAAGAUAAAGAUCACGCCAAGAUAAAUUUUAAGCUUCGGAAGCAUAACUAUUUGAUACAAAUCGAUUUUAAUUUAAUGUUCCCUGGAAAGGAAAGGCGCAUUAGCUUCAAAAUGGGAAGCGUUUAAGAAGGAAAUACAACAGUACUAUGCGUAUAAUAUCCACAACGUGAACAGAAGGAAGCUGUUUAUGAAUUUCAAGAAUUCAGAGACUAUUGACUUUAUUUUGACUAUCCUGCUCCCCUCAAUUUUACCGCCCAAUACAUGGUACUCUUCAAAAGCAUCAAAAACCAGAACUCCCUGGAAAGUCUAGUCCUUCAAGUGAACUCCAUUGCCGACUAUCGCCAAAGGAUUGCAGAAUCUGUCGGUAAAAACUAUUCGAAUUUAAAAACAGUUCAACCGUGUAUGUUUGUAAAAAGCCACAAAGCAAAUUAUUUAAAAACAUGUACAAUAUGAAGUGAGUGUUAAAAACCACGUUCUUUGAUAAACU